rnacentral:rRNA from 1 species
UACGUAGGGCGCGAGCGUUGUCCGGAAUUAUUGGGCGUAAAGAGCUCGUAGGCGGCCGGUUGCGUCUGCUGUGAAAUCCCGGGGCUUAACCCCGGGCGUGCAGUGGAUACGGGCCGGCUGGAGGCAGGCAGGGGAGAAUGGAAUUCCCGGUGUAGCGGUGAAAUGCGUAGAUAUCGGAAGGAACAUCAGUGGCGAAAGCGGCUUCCUGGACCAGAACUGACGAUCAGGCUCGAAGGCCAGGGGAGCAAACGGG